rnacentral:rRNA from 1 species
CUGCAUGAAGCUGGAAUCGCUGUAAUCGCGGAUCAGAAUGCCGCGGUGAAUACGUUCCCGGGUCUUGUACACACCGCCCGUCACACCAUGGGAGUAGGUAAUGCCCGAAGUCGGUGACCUAACCGGAAGGAAGGAGCCGCCGAAGGCAGGACUUAUAACUGGGGUGAAGUCGUAACAAGGUAAC